UAUAUUGUAUAUAUGUUUUAUAAUUACUGGGAAACAAAAAUAUAUGUGAUUUGCUUUGUUGUGACGUUAUUGUUAUUGUCUGGAAGCUAACCCAAAAUAUAUUUGGGGUAUGCCUGUACAAUCCUAUUCUCUGGAACCUGUAAAUGUUGACUUACAUGACAAAAGGGAUUUUUUCAGAUGUGAUUAAGUUGAAGAUCUUGAGAGAAAGAGAUUAUCAUGGAUAAUCAGGGAAGGACCUAAAUAUAAUGACUGUCUUCUAUGAAAAGGGAGACAGUAAAAUACAUGAUUAGAGAGAGGAGAGAGAGGCAAUGUAAUUAUAGAAGCAAAAGGUUGCACAGGUGCAAAAAAGGCGUCAUGGGCGAUGGAAUGUAGGUAGCCUCCAGAAGCUAAAAAAAGGCAAGGGGAGAAAUCUUCUCUUAGUUCCUCCAGAAGGAGCUAACCUCUCAAACACCUUCACAUUAGCUCAAUGAAGAUAAUUUCAGCCUCCUGAACUGAAAGAGAAUACAUUUAUGUUGUUCUAAGCCAUGAAGGUGUUGGUAGCUGGUUAUAGCAGCCAUAGGAAACUAAUGCAUAUGCUAAUCAUGUAAUGAUAAAACUAGUAAGCAUGCAAUGUUUAUACAGGAAAAAGCCUUCCUAUAAGGAAUGGUAGUAUAUUUCACUAGUAGAGUACUUUACAGAUUUUAGAGUUCUUUUAAAUUAUUACUCCCAUUUGAUUCUCAAAACAAUUCUAUAAGUAAGCAGGAAAGAUAUUAUUAUAAUACCUAUUUUACUAAUGAAGAAAUUGAAGCUAAGGGAGCUUACAUGUCUUGUGGUAAAAAAAAGUUAUUUGACUCUUUGCCUAGUAAUUUCUUCUCUAUAGGGUCCUGUUUCUUUAAAAAGGAGCUCAGAAAAGCAUCUGUAACCAGCUAUAUAGACCACAUUUCUUUAAGGAAGGCAAAUACUUUUCUGGUCCAUAGUCAGACGCAUUAUCCAUUGCAACACUGGCCUGUGCUUGCAAAUGUUUUCUUAAACUGGAUAAAUAGAAAAUUCAUCAUGGAAAGACAACCUUCUACCUUAAAUUCAUGUUAAGCAGAAGUUUAUUGAUUGGUAGAUGCAAGAUCCUCUCUACACAAGAAAGAAUUAAGCAGAAUAUUCAUAUGAAUUUAUAUUACUUAAUAUGGGGUAUGCCAUUGAAAGGAGUUAGCAAGCUUGCUUUAGGCAAACAGUAAGGAAAGGGUCCUGGAGAGCCUUUGACCUGCCCUGUAGGUGCUUGCACCAGAUGUUUUGUGCAGAUAAAGGAACUUGCAAAGGGGGCUUGCCUAAACGUACAGACUAAGGGCCCACAUACAACUAGGGGAAUGGGAUGGAGCCACCAGCAAUUCAUGCCUUAUAUAAAUAGGGAACCCACCUUCAUCAGCUUGUAUGUAAAGGCCCUUGUAUUCAACUCUGAAGGGGGCAACCAGCAACCUGCUAUUAGAACCCCUCUUUUUGCUGAGAGCUUUCCUUUUCACUUAAUAAAUUCUACUCCACUCAUUUUUUCAAUGUCCGCAUGCUUAUUCUUCCUGGUCAUGAGACAAGAACCUGGACGUAGCUGAGCUAAGGCACAAAAAACCUGCAUCAUUUUGGGGGCUCAUCUGGGAUACCUGGUGGGUGAGUAAAUGCAGUCCCACAGCCUUUCACUUUCAUUUCUGAGCCUUCUUGUCCUCAGACUUUUCCUGAAGGCAGAUGCAGCACUGAACCUCUGGUGAGCCAAUUAGGAAUGAAUGGCACAGCUACAGAGGACAGGAUGCAGGAGAGGACCAUGACACGCCCACCCCCGUCAUCCUCUGGGGUUGGGAAUGUCGGUCUCGUCCCAAUCCAGUCUUUUCUAUGGCGUUUUACUUCUUUUUUUCAGUACUGUCACGGCACCUAUCUCUUCUUUUGUAAUGUUAAGGGUGUUGCUGCAAACUGCGGAGAUAUUACUAGGUAGAAUGAGCCUUUGACCCAGCCAUCAGACAUGCAAUUCAGAAUAAUGCGAUUUCCUUCUGUUCUUAGAGGUGUCGCCCACCCCCAUCCUGAUGGACAUGUGGGGUGGGAAUGAGCUGUGGCUGCCACCUGGGCCCGGGCCCCAGGACAGCCUCGGUAGCCAAGGGCCCCAUGUGGCCAGCUGGCCAGUGUUUCCUGCUUACCAUCCCCCCGACGCCAUGCACCAACAGAGUCUUUCCUCCCGUGGCCAAGCCAGGAAGAGGGUACAAUGAUUGAAAGUUUCUCUCCCUGUUGGAGGAACCCAUUUGCAUAGAGCUAGAGGAUUUUCCCUCAGGCAUCUUCCCUGCCCUGCCCUUAAGCUGUUUUUUUUUUUUUUCUUUUCCCCACACUGUCAGGAGUUACCUUUUAUGCAAGAGGUUUUUUUUUUUCCUUUGGAAGACAUCUUAUUAGGCCAGUACCCCAAUUCACAAGACAUCCUUUUCUCUCCCUUGUUUGAGGAGGACUCAGCUCCAUAGCUUUACCUUAGCAUGACUAAGUCCUGCUGAAUUUCAUGGAUAGAGGAGGUCAUGGUAGCAUUCAUGGAUAGAGGAUGCUCCCACUUCAUGGAUAGAGGUCAUGCUAGCAUUCAUGGCAUAGACAAGGUCUAGGGAACUCAAAGGCUACUGACAGCAUUGGGAAAAGGCCACAUGUGGAUAAGUGUGGAUAAUUCCCACCCCCUCGGCCCCCUGUUAAUGUGGGUGAAAACCUCUGUUUUCCUUAUGAAACCCCAGGAAUUGAAAGCAGAAAGAUCCCUCUCAAAACCUUUAGGGUUCCUAACCUGUGGUAAGUAAAGAAUGUUACUUUCUAAUAGGCCCAGGAGACCCAUGUUCUUGAGACCUCAAGAAAAGAGGAAUUUACUCAACUCAUAGGUAUUUGAGGCUACCAACCCAUGGCUGGCCUCAGCUGUAAAAGGUCUUAUCUGAGAUUCCGUGGGGAACAGGGUGUCAUUAAAGCCGAUUUAAAGGCCUGUGUGAAAAACAAUUACUCAUGCUGCACUUUACGCAAAUAAUCAGGCCAAGUAUAAGACUAAGGUUUAUUUUACAAGCAACUUAGUCCUAUCAUGAUUUGUUUUUGACAAAAAUGGGGACUAGAGAGAGAAAAAUUAUGUUUCAAUGCUUACCAUAUACUUGUUAUUAAAUUCUCGUCUCAUCUGUUGUUUUUAGGUUUUUGCCUACAUUCUAGACUAACCCUGUUUAUCCCCGUGAACCAACCAGUGAUCUCUGGCUGUAUCUCAGAAGAAACAGACAGAUGGGUAAUAUAAAGAUCUAGAUCAAUAGUCUAGUUCUGGACAAUUAUCCUGCAAAGCCUGCAAGGUGGUAAGAAUAAAUGGGGUGCCCAUAACCCAGAAGUUUCUUUGUUAUGGAAAAUAAGACCAAGGGAGCUAACCAGAGCCAAGCCCCAUGCCCCCACAUCUUGGCAGGCAUAACUAUAGCCACCAGUUUUCUGGGCAUUUCAGCAGCCUUGGGGUUUUUUUGAGCUGCCCUUACCCCCUUGUUUCAUUUUGAUGUGCAUCUUCUAAUAACCCUAAUUGUUUAUUCUUGCUUAGCGGCCAUUAAACUUCAAAUGGUGUUGCUAAUGGAACCAGGUAUGAAUGUGUCAUUUUUCUGGAGACCCUUAAAGUGACCUCAAGAGGAGCCCUAACUGCCGCUUUCCUAAAACAGUGCCCCCUGUCAGCAGGAAGCAGUUAAGAGCUGUCAUUGACCACUUUCCCCACCAGCAGUUGGGGUAUCCACUCCUCAAGCGGGGAAUGAAAGGCAUUAGCCACCUUGCUUUAGGUAGACAGUAAGGGAAGGGUCCCGGAGAGCCUCUGACCCACCCCACAGGUGCUUGUACCAGAUGUUUUGUGCAGAUAAGGGAACUUGCAAAGGGGGCUUGAUUAAACAUGCCAGCAGCCGACUAAGGGCCCACAUGCACACUGGGGGAAUAGGGUGGAGGCACCAGGAAUUUUCACCUUAUACAAAUAAAGAAGUCAGCCCCAUCAGUCCGUAUGUAAAAGCCCCUGUAUUCAGCUGUGAACAGGGCACCAGCAACCUGCUUUUAGGGCCCCUCUUUUUGCUGAGAGCUUUCCUUUCCUAAUAAAUUUCACUCCACUCACUCUUCGACAUCUGCAUGCCUAUUUCUUCCUGGUUGUGAGAGAAGAACCUGGAACUAGCUGAGCUAAGGAGCAAAAAUCCUGCAUCACAACUUAGCAUAGAACAUAGUGAAUCCUAAAAUGAAACCAGAAAUAUUUUAGAAAAUAAUAAUCUUAAAUAUAUAGACAGCUAAAUAGAAUAAAAAACUAAAAUAAAAAGUAUACCACAAAUGUGAAAGUGAUGGUUUCAUAUUUCUAAAGAUCACCCAAGGAGACAGUUUAGAAAUUAAAAUGAAAAGUACAUUUUUAGAAUGUAUUAAAGAUAUUAUAACUAUGUCCAGCUUUAUUUUCAUGCUGUGUCUGCAAUCUCCACUAGGAUGACAAUAUGCCUAUAACCAAGAAUUUUCUCAUUUUCCAUGGUCAACAUUAUAAUUACUGUAAAGGCAAACAGCAUGGCUGAGUACAAAGUACAUUCAACAGGUAAAGCAUACAGUAUAAAGUCUAUACUGUAGCUAUGCAAAUGCCAUCAUCCUCAAAAGCACAAGUAAAUAUUGAUUAAGAACUUUAAGCACUUUGAAGGUUGCUGGAGCAAAAUGAAUACGUUUAGAAGUUUUUAGAGAUUGUUUUGACUCUAUUGGGUUCCUGGAACUGAGUUAUUCAAUACUUCUGAAAGAAGGGGGCAACAUAUUAGAUAGCAGAAAGUGGUUCAAGACCACACCUCAGAGAAACUUUAAAAAAAUGAAGGAUUAAGAAAGUCAUUAUUUGAUAUUUUUAAAAAUAAAUAACCUCAGUAGAAAUCCAUUUUAAUUUUAACCUUUAUAUUACUAACUAGAACUCAUCUUUUAUUCUAUUUCCUUUCAUAUAAUUCAGAUCUGCCCUAGUACGUCACUGAAGAGAGACUAAAGAAAAAAUUGUCUAAUUUCAUAGGACAUUAUAGAUCCUGUGAGUCUUCUAAGGUACCUCCCUGCUUGCUAGGGCAUAGGAAUUUGCACAUGGGAAUCUACAGUCUUUUAUGCCAAGAAACAAUUCCCAGAAAUCAUUUCCUUCUCAAGUGGCUUUCUGGCCUCCCUGGAGCUCAACACAGUUUUUAGGGCUCAAGGUCCCUCUUUCUAUUUAUUUUCUGCUCCCAUCAUUUCUUUAUUUUUCCUUCCUGACCAAGAUGUUUUUUUUUUUCUUUUUUAUUACAGGAACAAAAAGACAUAUUAUUUUCUGCCUGUUCCUUGUGGGAAAAAAUUCAAAUUUUCUAAAUUUUAUAAGGGCUGCAAUUUCCGAAAUAUUCUUCCAUUCAUUCAGGAAGUACUUGAAUAUCUACUAAAUGCCAACCACUCUUUUCUGGAUGUUUAGCAGUAAGCAAAAACAAAGUUAUGCUUGUGGAAAGAAACAAAAAAAAUAAGCAAUUUAAAAAAUAAAUAUAAACCAUAUUCUGAGAAUGCUAAUUUUUGCAUUUUGUAAGGGGAUAAAUGGAGAAAUGCUCACUAAAAAAGUGACAUUUGAGGAGAUACAUGAGUGAAAUACAGAAUUUGGAAAGAAAAAUUAGUAACUGCAACAUCCUUGAUACAGGCUGGAGUUGGCUAGCUUUAUUCAGGAUUAUCAAGAAGGCCAAUAUAAUUGGAGCCGAGAGGGCAAAGGGAGGAAGGAAUAGUUAUAUAAUAAAAACCAAUGUGGACUUCCAGCCUUUUUUGUCUACCUUCACCCCUUUCCAGAGUCAGCACAGAGGUGGCUAUGGAAAAAGAGAAAAAAAAUCUUCAAUAAAAACGGAAAGUAAAAAGA